rnacentral:rRNA from 1 species
UGGGGAAUUUUGGACAAUGGGCGAAAGCCUGAUCCAGCAACGCCGCGUGCGGGAUGACGGCCUUCGGGUUGUAAACCGCUUUCAGCAGGGACGAAGGUUUUCUGACGGUACCUGCAGAAGAAGCACCGGCUAACUACGUGCCAGCAGCCGCUGUGAUACGUAGGGUGCGAGCGUUGUCCGGAAUUAUUGGGCGUAAAGAGCUUGUAGGCGGUCCGUUGCGUCGGAAGUGAAAACUCAGGGCUUAACCCCUGAGCCUGCUUUCGAUACGGGCGGACUUGAGGGAUGUAGGGGAGAACGGAAUUCCUGGUGGAGCGGUGGAAUGCGCAGAUAUCAGGAGGAACACCAGUGGCGAAGGCGGUUCUCUGGACAUUUCCUGACGCUGAGAAGCGAAAGCGUGGGGAGCAAAACAGGCUUAGAUACCCUGGUAGUCCACGCCGUAAACGGUGGGCACUAGGUGUGGGACCCAUUCCACGGGUUCCGUGCCGUAGCUAACGCAUUAAGUGCCCCGCCUGGGG